ACAACUGGCCCACCCAAAUUUGACCCACAGAACCACAUUUGAUUCCCCUGCACCUGCCAGGAGUGAUUCAUGAGCACAGAGCCAGGAGUGAGCCCUGAGCAUGGCUGGGUGUGGCCCCCAAAUCAAAAAUAAAAUCCUAUGACAUAAAAAAGAAAAAAUUUAUUAUGUGUUUAAUAUUUGCCCUAAGCAAUAAUAAAUACAUUUCAAAGGCUACCUUUCAAAAGUUAAAAACAUGACUCAUGACAGCCUGAAGAGAUAGCCCAGGGGUUAAAGGUGCUUACUUGUGUUGUAUGUGGCCAACCUAGGUUUGAUCCCCAGCACUCCACUUGGCUCCCUGACCACUGCCAGGAGUGAGCCCUAAUAAACACAGACAGGUGUGGCCCCAAAACAAAACAAACCAGCCAAACUGAGGAUGUCCUGAAAAACAGGACACAGGAACCAUGACUUUGAUGUCACUGAAGAGGCUCAUUUGCUGCUCCACUGGAUAUGAGCCUGCAGAUGACAUGUCAUUUUGAGGGUGCGCCCAGGUUAGGGAUAGCAAGUUCAAACUCCAAAGUCUUGACAGUUGCUAUUAGGCAUUGGCAUGUCAAAGGUCAA